CGCGCUUGCUUGCGCCCCCACCUCCACUCUGGUACAUGGCUGCUCCCCGUUUUAAUUCCCCCAUUGUUUUCUCCAAUCCCUCAACAUAUAUUCCCAAUCUGCCUGGCUGAGCUCCGGAUUGAAACCCGCUCGACAUUUUCCCCCUGGACCUGAUUUGAUAUGAUUCUGCCAGCCGCUACCUCAAAUCCCCGGAUUUCUGGCUUGAGAUCCGCUAGCCUUUCUUCCCUGCACCCGAUUUGGUUUGAUCCUGCCUGCUGCUACCUCGAAUCCCUCGAUUUAUUUUUAUUGGAUUCAAGCAAUCAUCGCCUGUACCGCGUAUAUUUUAAUUCUCCUGCUUCCGUGCGUAUGCAAGUUUUCAUCUCCUGCUCUUAAAUUUUAAUUUACAUUGAUUGGAUGAGCAGAUGCCUCUAAUUUACCUUUUAUUUUAGUUUCCGCCCUUCAAUUGUUGCACAAUAUUACAACAUUAAUUUUGUUUCACAACGAUUGAACUUCAAGCUUUCCCUUUCUGUUUGGUUCAGGUGUGGAUCAAGACGAAUUUCACAUGAAGGAUAGUUAAGAAAAUGGUAUUGCUAGAAUUUUUUUUUUGUGUGCCGCGGAUGCAGUUCAUUUGUUGGUAUAUUCAUGUUAUGAAAUCAGCACCACCCAAGGUUUGUAUUUUCAGAUAUUGUAUAGCAUUCUCAUGCUGGCAUGUAUUUUUUCUUUUAUAAGAUUAUGUAGGUAAGGAGGAGUCAUGAACUAAAAUACUGCUAUCUUUUUUACCAGUGGUGGCGAAAACAUACCACCAGGCUCAACUAGAAUGUAGUGGAAUUUGGUAGUGGUGAUGAAAAUAUGGCAUGGACGAAAUGUCUAACCUUUUUGCCAGUUUGGCAUGGUUCAAGGGUUUGCUAGAUGUUUUGACUUCUAUUGGAGGCAAUGAAUCAUCUUCAACUCUAAAAUUCUGGAUGGCAAUACCAAUACGGAAAGAUACGUGCAGGAGUCGCCAAUCUUUCAACUCUUUAUGUGUUAAUGGACUAUAUAUUUACAGUCUUUCGCGAAGAUUGGUUGGGUUAGUCUACAAAUAUCCCGGGUUUUUUGUAAUUCGAGAAGAAUGUGUAAACCAUUUAUGUACGGCAUGCCAUUUACAUUGUACUAGAAACACUUCAACGUGGAAUGUGGUACUUUC